rnacentral:rRNA from 1 species
CAGCCGCCACGGGAAUACGAGGGGGGCAAGCGUUGUUCGGAAUUAUUGGGCGUAAAGGGCGCGUAGGCGGUUUGGCAAGUUUCGUGUGAAAUCUUCGGGCUCAACUCGAAGUCUGCACGGAAAACUGCCGGGCUUGAGUAUGGGAGAGGUGAGUGGAAUUUCCGGUGUAGCGGUGAAAUGCGUAGAUAUAGGAAGGAACACCAGUGGCGAAGGCGACCACCUGGACUGAUACUGACACUGAGGUGCGAAAGCGUGGGGAGCAAACAGGAUUAGAUACCCCUGUAGUCCCUGUCUCUUAUAC